rnacentral:rRNA from 1 species
GAUGAACGCUGGCGGCGUGCCUAAUACAUGCAAGUCGAGCGAACAGACGAGGAGCUUGCUCCUUCGACGUUAGCGGCGGACGGGUGAGUAACACGUAGGUAACCUACCUAUAAGACUGGGAUAACUUCGGGAAACCGGAGCUAAUACCGGAUAAUAUUUCGAACCGCAUGGUUCGAUAGUGAAAGAUGGCUUUGCUAUCACUUAUAGAUGGACCUGCGCCGUAUUAGCUAGUUGGUAAGGUAACGGCUUACCAAGGCAACGAUACGUAGCCGACCUGAGAGGGUGAUCGGCCACACUGGAACUGAGACACGGUCCAGACUCCUACGGGAGGCAGCAGUAGGGAAUCUUCCGCAAUGGGCGAAAGCCUGACGGAGCAACGCCGCGUGAGUGAUGAAGGUCUUCGGAUCGUAAAACUCUGUUAUUAGGGAAGAACAAACGUGUAAGUAACUGUGCACGUCUUGACGGUACCUAAUCAGAAAGCCACGGCUAACCACGUG